rnacentral:misc_RNA from 1 species
AACGCACCUUGCGCUCCUUGGUAUUCCGAGGAGCAUGCCUGUUUGAGUGUCUUGAAGUCAUCAACCCCUUCCCGCUUUGUUGUGGGGUUCGGGUUGGAUUUUGGGGGCUUCUCUGCUGCUGAAAGGCGGCUCCCCUGGAAUGCUUUGGUUGGGCCUGUGGGUCGAACUCGACUGGGCGUUGUACCAUCCUCGCUCGACUGCAAUGUUCCCCUGCUGUGCCCCAGCCUCGACCGCCUCCUCGGUGGGGUGGCCAAACACUUUGGAAUCUGACCUCAAAUCAGGUAGGACUACCCGCUGAACUUAA